UAGGGAAUCUUCGGCAAUGGACGAAAGUCUGACCGAGCAACGCCGCGUGAGUGAAGUAAGGUUUUCGGNUCGUAAAACUCUGUUGGUAGAGAAGAACGUUGGUGAGAGUGGAAAGCUCAUCAAGUGACGGUAACUACCCAGAAAGGGACGGCUAACUACGUGCCAA
rnacentral:rRNA from 1 species